AUAGUCGAGUCUCAAGACAGCGUCGAUGCUCAAGACCGACCUUGAACCAACUUUGUGUUUUAUAAACCGAUCUCGAGACACGACGUUGUCUUGGGAAGUGUAAAAUGACAGGCGAAUCUCAAGUCAUCGAUCGACCUUCCUCAAGACCGCGAUUCUAACCUAACUUUGUUUGUUAUUGUUUGAAUUUUGAAUAUUUUAAAUUCAGUUCCAACAUAUAUUUUUUGUUUUUCUAAUUACAACAAAAAUGUAUGAAGAAGUAAAAGCAUUUUUAGAGUUUAUUGAUAAUAUUGGUGAAGAAAAUCGCCCGGGAAGUAUACAAAAGCGAUAUAUUCAAGAUAAAAAUAUAAUCUAAAAUACAAUGGAGUAUUACAAUAUUGAAGUUCAUCAGCGAAUCAGCGCAUUAACUUAAACAAUAAAGGUUUUAUGCUACUUAUAGGAAUAUAACCAGUUUUUAUGAGGACCCCGCUUUCCAAAAAUGUACAGGUACUAGAAGAGAAAUUAUGUGUAUUAUUGUUCAACAACAAGGUUAUCAAGUCAUUCAAUAUUUGAUCUAAGAGCAUUAAGAGUGAAAUUGUGAAAUGGAAAGAAGUGAAAUUCCAGGAUUAUUAAUAGGAAUAGAUGACAGUAGUGGGUAUGCAUGCAGACACUAUCUACUUACCCCAGUAUUACACCCAGGUAAUGAUCAAGAAAAUAAGAUAUUUUUACCAUAGUACUCAUGUGAGAACAAGAAAUGUAGAAAAGCUAUUUGGAACCUGGAAAAGAGAGUUUCCUUGUCUUCAACAAGGUCUACAAACCAAAUUAUAUACAUGUCUUGCAAUAAUAUGUGCUACAGCAGUACCUUACAAUCUAGGUAAAUAAUGAUCUGGUGGUAAAUAGACAUGUUAAUGAUGUGGAACAAUCUCUAAAUUUUUGGUGACAUUUUUUUCAACAAUAUUUUGCAUGAGAAUACAUUAUUGAAUACCUA